rnacentral:tRNA from 1 species
GUAGACAUAGUUUAAUAAAAUUUCAGACUGUGGCUCUGAAGAUGGGGGUUAAAACCCCUCUGCUUACC